GACGAACGCUGGCGGCGUGCUUAACACAUGCAAGUCGAACGGAAAGGCCCUGCUUUUGUGGGGUGCUCGAGUGGCGAACGGGUGAGUAACACGUGAGUAACCUGCCCUUUACUUUGGGAUAACUUCAGGAAACUGGGGCUAAUACCGGAUAGGAGCUCCUGCUGCAUGGUGGGGGUUGGAAAGUUUCGGCGGGUGGGGAUGGACUCGCGGCUUAUCAGCUUGUUGGUGGGGUAGUGGCUUACCAAGGGUUUGACGGGUAGCCGGCCUGAGAGGGUGACCGGCCACAUUGGGACUGAGAUACGGCCCAGACUCCUACGGGAGGCAGCAGUGGGGAAUAUUGCACAAUGGGCGGAAGCCUGAUGCAGCAACGCCGCGUGCGGGAUGACGGCCUUCGGGUUGUAAACCGCUUUCGCCUGUGACGAAGCGUGAGUGACGGUAAUGGGUAAAGAAGCACCGGCUAACUACGUG
rnacentral:rRNA from 1 species